GGCAUUCACACAAACCAAUAUGGUUACUUGUUCAGUUUGUAUAUUUGGUCAUUCACAAAUUACAACAAUAAAAUAUGGGACACACAACAACAAUUUUACAUUCAAAGUACACCUCAACACAAGGGAUGAUUUGUACCAAAAAAGUGGUAAAAGUACAAAUUUCAAAUAAACACUCACACACCCAUAGGUCUCAUUUAUAAAUCGAAGUUCAAAGAGGCUAAUGCUCUACAAUUCUCUCCUUGAGGUACUUCAAAACGCCUUUUGUUCCUCGAUCCAAAAUAGCCCUUCGAAUGCUUCUGAGUGGGUUACCCUCCAGUUUUAGCACCUGCAGACUAGGUUCAAGCAAACCCAAUUCUGGUGGAAGUGAAGAAAUGUUAUUGUCUGAUAAGUCGAGUUCAGCGAGAGAUGUCAAGUUUUCGAUACCCUGUGGAAUUGAUUGAAGGGAAUUUUGGCUCAAAUCAAGAAUUCGUAACUGCUUUAAGUUGAUUAUAUCACUUGGGAAAACAGAUACUCGCAUCCUUCUCAGAUAAAGCUCCUGCAACUCUGCUAGGCAAGAAAACACAGGAUGCUCUGGUAAAGAACCAAUAUUGCCACUCAGAUCCAGAACCUGAAGCUUGGAUACAGCUUGAAAGGCGGAGGAUGGUAUCUGUCGGAGGGAAUUAUUGUCUAGCUUCAAACAUGUAAGUGCAGGAAGAGAAGUUAAGACAGAACCAGGCCAAUCUUUUAUCUUGUUUUUGGAUAAAAUAAGAGCCUCUAAGGAAAUACAAGAGGAAAGUUCAAGAGGAAGUUCUUCGAUUGAAUUCCCUGAAAGAUCACAUUUUGAGAUGUCAUUCGAUUUCCAGACAUCUGAAGGGACAGCAGUCAAACCAAGUCCUCCUAAAGAAAGCUCCUUUGAAGAUAGGGACAACCUAGCUGCCUUGGCAACAACAUCAUCUUUUCCGGGUGUAGAAGUUGCAGACUCUUCGUCAGUUGGAAGUCUACUUCGAAGAAAUCUUAAUAGAGCAGGUGUAGGUCCGUUUACCAAAGAACUCCGAAGUGUCCUAAUUGGGUUGCCAGCGAGCAAAAGCUUCCGCAAAGUUGUCAUUAAGCCAAUAUCUGGAGGCAAUCCAGACAAUGAAUUGUUCGAUAAGUCCAGCAUUGAAAGUUGCAAUUUACAUGCCUCCGCAGGGUACUCCUUCAACUGGUUUGAGUGGAGAUCAAAUAUCCCCAACCUAUUAAGAGUGCCUAUCUCCACAGGUAAUGAAGUAAGUGCAUUAUUCCCGAUAUAGAACUCCAAAAGAGAUGAGCAAUCCUUUAUUGAGGAUGGGAUCAAUGAAAUUCUGUUCUGAUGCAGGUCGAGGCGAAUUAAGCGUGAAAGACUUCCAAUAUUUUCUGGAAUGCUAUUGAGCAAGUUUUUUGAUGCAUUGAGUUCAGUAAGCAUUCUGCAAGAUGCAACCAAACUCUCUGGUAGGGUAGUUAACUUGUUUCCCUCGACAUCCAACUUUGUUAAUUUUGAACACUUCGCUAGAUCUGCUGACAAACUGGAAAUGCUAUUGUUUGAUGCCUUGAGGUCUGAUAACUCCACACAUCUUCCAAGGGAGUUAGGGAGAUCAUUUAGUUGGUUGUUUGAACAAUCAAGCUUGACUAGAGAAGCUGCUGUUCCGAUCUCUUCUGGAAUAUUCACUAUCAAGUUAAAUGAUACAUCUAACGACUUCAGCAUAUGAAGCUCUCCAAUAGCAGAUGGAAGAUGGGUUAGCUUGUUGUGACUAACAUUUAGCACUGACAGUAGAGGUAAAUUUCGAAUGUCUUCCUGCAAUGUUUCUAUGUCAUUAUGAGCCAGAAUCAGCUUCUGCAGCUCCACGGCCUCCCACCACUUCUCAUCCUCACUGGCUGCAUCCAAACUUUUGUAUAUGUCAAUGGGCACCUCACUGAGAGAACGAUUCGAUAGAUUGAGAGAACCGGAAGUUCUCGCAGCUUUGAUAACUCGAUCCAUGGCGAUUAGUUCUCAAUUUUCCAUGAAUCCGAACUCUAAAUCUUACAAGAUCUCUUUCUCUUUCGAUCGAUUGGUGAAGUUUUACAAUUUUUUGGUACUCGAAAACUUAAAAUGGCA
rnacentral:misc_RNA from 1 species